ensembl:lncRNA
AAGAAAUAAGAAUAAUUUCGCCAAGUAUCUCACAAUGUGUAUAUUUAGAUUUUUUAAAGUCAGACACCAUUUUAAUCAGGAAAAUCACCUUUUUCUAAUGACAUAAGGUUGGGGAGUGCACUCUGCUGUCAUCGAUCGCUAGAUUAGAAAUAGUCAGAAAUUGCCUUUUUUUUCUCUACCUCUUUGUUAUGCCGACAUAAGCACACUUGGCACCAUAAAGGUUCUGCAGUCUCUCCCGUGGUUGUCUGGGCGCAGCUGGGGCAGAAGAGGAAGCCACCCCUGCUGGUCUAUGAGACUUUGUGCGACCUAACCGGCCUGGCGUGUUAAGGUGCCCUAUAAGUGAAGACUGAGCAGCUCUGUGGACAUGGCUGAAGGAUGUGUGUGGUCUGAUGAAGCUGAGGGGGAAGUUCCAGCUAAGAGGACAGGAUAACACUGCCAUGGGGGCCCGCAGAGAGCUGGAUGGAAUGGUCCACUCAAAGUGGGUGAGCGAUGGGGCUGAAGCGACCAAGAUGGGGCCAUCUGAUGCCCCAGGUCUACCAGGAGAGAGGAAACAGUGGAUGGAGACGACAACAAGAAUGGCCCUGGCUGCCCUAGGACACCAUGUGGGAGAGCUGCUAGCUUGAAGGUAUUGGAGACCUUUAUGUUCAAGGGGACUUUGUUUGUUUUGAGUAAAUAUGGGGGGUUUAUUUAAAAAAGUGCUUUUGCUAACCGGUGUGUUAAACAUAAUAUUGCACGUGUGUCAUUUUGCAGUGUUUUCACUCACUCUGCGAGGAAACUCUCAUUUUAAAGUGGGUGAGAAUGUCACAGGAGUCACUACUUUACAUGUGUAACAAUCAAGCAUUCCUAUUGGAUGGUUAACGUAUCAAGUGAUUGAAUUGUGUAUUUAAAUCCCCCUUCCCCACAGGAAGGGGUGUAGUCCAGAGGCAUGGUGGAUCCUUGUUGCAACAGAGCGUAUGACCUGCCAUUGGCAUUAAACAAAGCCUGUGUGUACAUGCAUGCUGAUGAUUCAACCAUAUAUGUGUUAGCAACCACAGCUAAUGAAGUCACUGAAAUUCUUAACAAGGAGUUGCAGUCAGUUUUGGAAUGGGUGUCGAGUAAUAAACUGGUCCUGAACAUCCCUAAAACUAAGAGCAUUUUAUUUGGUACAAAUCAUUCCUAGCAAACCUAGUUUAAAACAAACAGAAAGCAAUUCCUCUCCCCCUUUUGACCUAGAAAUCGUGUGUAUGUAUUGAUAUAUAGGCUAUGUGUGCCGUUUUUAAAUGUAUGUAGUUCUGUCAUUGAGCUGUUUUUGUCAAUUAAUGUUCUGUAUAAUGCUAUGUUUUGUGUGGACCCCAGGAAGAGUAGCUGCUGCUUCCGCAACAGGUAAUGCUUCAAUCAACUCUGCCUCACGCCCCACCACUACAGAGUUUAGUUAGCUUCUUAGUUAGCUGUAAAAGGUGUUAGUGUUAUUAGCCUAUUUAGCGCUAACCAGCUAAUCUGCCAAUGCCACAAUGGAUAUCGGAAAUCAAACCAUCAAAGAUGCCUCCAAGCCCAGCAGCAAUGAUGGUGCUGAGCUCCAAAGCCCCCCCCCAUUCACAUAUGCCGCCAGGAUAAUGGCUCCACAGUCCCCUCCACCCCUGACUGUUCCUGACAAUCUUGGAAGAGGAGCCAGCCCAGAUUAGCCUAGAAUCCUACCAUAACAACAUGUUUUCUGUCCAGAAACAUUAAUUUAAUAUCAACUGCUUCAUAGGAGGAGAGUGGCUGGAAUACUCAGUUACUGCAGAUGCUGUAUUUUUGUUCCAAUGUCAAAAGUUCUGUAUUGGGUCCAUUGCUAAUGCAGACAAGGCCUUCACCCAAAGCGGGUAUUCUAACUAGAAGCAUGCUUUUGAUGAAACCAAGGGAUUCGCUAGGCACGCAUCAAGCAUGGUGCAUGGAGCAUUUGAAAUGCACUGCACUGUGGAAAGAAAAACUAAUUGUAUUCAGUUGCAUUCACAUAGGCUGUUUGUAAUAGGUGAAUUACCCCAUCUAUCUUGUAGCCUAUAUUCAUUGGCAAAUAGGCCUUGCUUUACUGUGUAAGGCGCUGUCCAUUGUGCUGAUACAGUGCAGCGGAGAUGGGUUUAUAGAUUUCGCGCCAACCUGUCACUUCAAAAGCACUCAAUGGUCUCAGAGUUUUGGCAUUUUAACUUUGUUUGUGGUAUAGCGUGAUAUAAUCAGAAUUCAAUAUAUUUCCAAUGCAAGAACCCCCCCCCCCCCAAAAGUGUGUCCCCUCACAGAUUUCAACUGUCCCCUUAGUCACUUUAACUUGCCGCAGGGUCUGUGCUGUAUGACUGGGAGAAUCUCAAUGCCCUUUUCUGAAAUAGAUUUGGUCAACUCCUGCAUCCUCUCUCCCGUCCUCUCUAACCUCCUUUUGAAAAAGGUCAAAAAGGUAAUUGAGGAGGCCGCUAGGAGAGGGAUCGUGGACGAAGAUGCGGUUGUUUGAAAUCAGACUCUCCUUUUCCAAUCGCGUGUCAUAAAUGUAUAAAGUGAUAGUUGUGCAAGACAUUUUAUAGAUAAAAGGAUCAUUAGCAUAUUGUUUUUAAAUGGUUGCGUGCUUUUCUACUUCGAGUAAACAAUAGCUGACUCAAAGUGUAAAAAGAUUUCCAAUCUCUUCCGCGAAGGACUCAGGGUUGUGCUUCCUUGCCAAUAGCAGGCUAUCGAGGAGGGGACCGUGUUCUGUUUUUCCACUAAUGAACUGAAACAUUCCUCGGCCACUUAUCGGUUUCCGGCUCACUGAGGAGUUUGCCCAAAGGAGAACUCCAAUUGCAUACUCAUGUCCUCUCUCCUCACCUCCUUCUCAAAAGAGAAAAAGGGUAUACAGAAAUGAAGCAUUCUAAGUGAAUUGUGAAAACGAGUUGAGAAUGUUGAAACUUGAUUACAGAAACGAAACCAUGUCUUAUGAAAAUAAAUGUAGAAAACUG